rnacentral:rRNA from 1 species
AACGAACGCUGGCGGCAUGCCUAACACAUGCAAGUCGAACGAGACCUUCGGGUCUAUUUGCGCACGUGUGCGUAACGCGUGGGAACCUGCCCGUAGGUUCGGAAUAACUCCCCGAAAGGUGUGCUAAUACCGGAUAAUGUCUUCGGACCAAAGAUUUAUCGCCUUUGGAUGGGCCCGCGUUGGAUUAGCUAGUUGGUAGGGUAAAAGCCUACCAAGGCGACGAUCCAUAGCUGGUCUGAGAGGAUGAUCAGCCACACUGGGACUGAGACACGGCCCAGACUCCUACGCGAGGCAGCAGUGGGGAAUAUUGGACAAUGGGCGAAAGCCUGAUCCAGCAGUGCCGCGUGAGUGAUGAAGGCCUUAGGGUUGUAAAGCUCUUUUACCCGGGAUGAUAAUGACAGUACCGGGAGAAUAAGCUCCGGCUAACUCCGUG